rnacentral:rRNA from 1 species
AGUGAACGCUGGCGGUAGGCCUAACACAUGCAAGUCGAACGGCAGCACAGUAAGAGCUUGCUCUUACGGGUGGCGAGUGGCGGACGGGUGAGGAAUACAUCGGAAUCUACUUUUUCGUGGGGGAUAACGUAGGGAAACUUACGCUAAUACCGCAUACGACCUACGGGUGAAAGCAGGGGAUCUUCGGACCUUGCGCGAUUGAAUGAGCCGAUGUCGGAUUUGCUAGGUGGCGGGGUAAAGGCCCACCAAGGCAACGAUCCGUAGCUGGUCUGGGAGGAAGACCACCCACACGGGAAGUGAGACCCGGUCCAGACCCCUAGGGGGGGCAGGAGUGGGGAAUUUGGGAAAAGGGGCGCAAGCCUGACCCAGCCAUACCGGGGGGGUGAAGAAGGCCUUCGGGUUUUAAAGCCUUUUUUUUGGGAAAAAAAAGAAGCAGGUUAAUCCCCCGCUGUUUUGGCGGUACCCAAAGAAAAAGCCCCGGCUAAUUUCGU